GUCAAACAUCGAUCUGCCGAGCCUCCGCCCACACCUCCAGAGGUCACCAUGAAGCUGGCGGUGCUCCUGCUGAGCGUCACUGUUGCCGUCCUGGCGCUCAGCUCGACGACAGAGGCCGCAGGCCGCAAGUGUGGCAAGCCCUGGUUAUGCUACAGAUGCAUCCGGGUAAAAGUCUGUGACUGCGAAUGCGACCACCUCCCCUUUUGUAACCUGAAACAUCCGUGCUGGCACUGUCAUGCCGGUGGAAAGAACUGCGACUGCGAAUGCGACCACCUCCCCUUUUGUAACCCGAAACAUCCGUGCUGGCACUGUAAGGGAAAGAAGUGCAGUUGUGACUGCAGUCAGUCACCGUGUUCUCGAAAACAUCCGUGCUACCACUGUCACCUCGUUAAGAAGUGUGCAUGCCGCAAAUGUCAUCGCGGCUAAUUUCACAGCUGCACUGAGUGUCGUAUUAUCGGUGACUUGGGAAAUUUAACCUUAGAUGGCAUACGUUGAUGCACCCACUGCACCGAAAAGGUCAUCCAAAGGCCUACAAAUGGAUCCUGCGCGGGGUUCCCCGCAGCUGCCGCGAUCUAGUGCGUUUCAGGUGAAUUGAGCAUAAUAAAUGCAAAAACUCCACAA